rnacentral:rRNA from 1 species
UACGUAGGGGGCAAGCGUUGUCCGGAAUCAUUGGGCGUAAAGAGCGUGUAGGCGGCCAGACAGGUCCGUUGUGAAAACUCGAGGCUCAACCUCGAGACGCCGAUGGAAGCCGUCUGGCUAGAGUCCGGAAGAGGAGAGUGGAAUUCCUGGUGUAGCGGUGAAAUGCGCAGAUAUCAGGAGGAACACCAAUUGCGAAGGCAGCUCGCUGGGACGUAACUGACGCUGAGACGCGAAAGCGUGGGGAGCAAACAGG